GCAGGAUGAGCAGCAGCUAUGUUGUUUUUGUUUAUUUGGCUUAGCUCAACAGUGUGCAAAGCCCAGUACAGAGAACUAGGCUGUUUGUAGAAGCAGUAAUUCUCAUGCUUUUGCUUCAGCUUUUAAUAUUGGAAGGACAACAUGACCAAAAUGGCCGAGGUUUGAAAGGACCUCUGAAGAUCAUCCAGAAGAUCAUCCAGACCCAGCCGAGCAGGAUCACUUCAAGCCUUUCAUGCAGGAUGGCAUGCAGGUGCACUGAGAAGACUGAGAAAUCUCAGAAGGUUAAAAAAAAGAAGAAAAAAAAAAAAAGGAUUUUUUUGCGGCAUACUGCUCUUUGAAAAAGCUCAACACAGACUGUUUUCUCAAGUGUACUUAAAAGGAAGGCAGAGACCUUGAGGUGGAAGGCUCUAUUCUGGGGAAUCCUUGUUCAUCUUAAUGUGAUUUUUCUUCUGUUUGUCUUCUUCCUCUUCUCAUCAGUGAAAGAAAAACAAAACAUUUGAUUGACAAUCAGCAAACAGACAAAGGGACUGUUAAUGUACAGCCUUAUAUUUUCAAAUGCUUAUUUGCCUUCUGAGAAACAUUCAUGACAGCUAUGAAGCAAAAUUCCUUCUCAGUGUUCACUUUUCAUCCCCUUUCUGACGUGUCUGAUGUGUGAAGAAUAAAGAAAGAAGGGGAGUCUUGUGCAAAUUUCUCUUGGAUGAUGAAUUCUGAUGAAAUAGUUCUUAGGUCCAGCCUUGGAGCUUUUACAAAAUGUUUUCUUCAAAUACUAAGCCCCUGGCUUGUUCUUGCACACUUGUGGGCUGGAAUCCUGGACUAUCUAGGGAUAUACCCUGGUCUGUACCCUUGUUUGUUGAGCUAUAUUUUUAUUUAUUUUUUUCCCACAAGCUUUGAAA